ACCGGAGGGAUAGCUCAGUUGGCUGAGCAUGAGACUCUUAAUCUCAGGGUUGUGGGUUCGAUCCCCAUGUUCGGCA
rnacentral:tRNA from 1 species